rnacentral:tRNA from 1 species
GGGGCCGUAGUCCAGCCUGGUAGGAUGCCUGGCUCGGGCCCAGGUGGUCCCGGGUUCAAAUCCCGGCGGCCCCACCA